rnacentral:rRNA from 1 species
AAAGGUAGCAGCUUAACUGUUUUACAUGCCGUUGAUACUGGUUAGCUUGAGUUGACAGAAGGCAGAUAGAAUUCCUGAUGUAGCGGUGAAAUGCUUAGAUAUCAGGAGGAAUACCGAUUGCGAAGGYAGUCUGCUGCAGUCACACUGACGCUGAGGCUCGAAGGUGCKGGGAUCAAACAGGAUUAGAUACCCUGGUAGUCCGCACAGUAAACGAUGAUUACUAGAUGUUGGCCAAGCCAGUGUCCAAGGGAAACCGAUAAGUAAUCCACCUGGGGAGUACNCCGGCAACGUGAAACUCAAAGGAAUUGACGGGNGUCCGCACAA